UGCUCUCAGAAACUCAACUGCUCCUGCCUUCAACUCUUCACUUCAUAGUUCUUAGUACUAAAAACAUCGGGCGCUAGGGGAUCGUGGCGUUGCCUCCAUGCAGGCACUUUGUUGAUCUUUGUGGCUGAUUUUUUAUUUGCCUUGCUCUCUUUAUGUUGAUUGUUUUACACACCGGUUGUUUUUAUAGCAUUUGAUUUUUUUUUGUACUGUUUUGGAAAUAAAAACAGAAAAGAAAGAAACACACACAAACAGCAAUGUCGUAUCCUCAGGGUUACCUUUACCAGCCCCCGGGCUCUUUGGCUCUCUAUUCUUGCCCAGCUUACGGGGCGUCUGCUUUGGCCGCCCCAAGAAGCGAGGAGCUGGCGAGGUCUUCGUCUGGUUCAGCGUUUAGUCCUUACCCGGGAUCGGCAGCCUUCACUGCACCGGCCACGGGCUUCACCAGCCCGCUGCAGUACACCUCGGAUCCGGCCACUGGAUUCCCGUCAUACAUGGGUUCACCUUACGAUGCCCACACAACAGGGAUGGCAGGAGCGAUUAGUUACCAUCCAUAUGGAAGCCCGGGGUAUCCAUACCAGCUAAACGACCCAGCUUACCGAAAGAAUACGACGAGAGAUGCCACAGCCACCCUCAAAGCUUGGCUCCAGGAGCAUAGGAAAAACCCGUACCCCACCAAAGGAGAAAAGAUCAUGCUGGCCAUCAUCACCAAGAUGACCCUGACCCAGGUCUCCACCUGGUUUGCCAAUGCCAGGAGGAGACUUAAAAAGGAAAAUAAAAUGACCUGGGCUCCAAGGAAUAAAAGUGAAGACGAAGAUGAAGAUGAUGGGGACGGGGAAAGAAAAAACGAACAUUCAGAAAAGAAUCAGGACAACAAUGAAACUUCGGCUGAGGACGAAGGCAUUGGUUUGCACGUUGACAACUUAACAGACCACUCUUGCUCUGCGGAGUCUGACGGGGAGAAAGUCAACUGCAGGAACGUGGACAGCAUGUGCGAGUCUGGUUCAGAAACCAAGCACAAACUAUGUGAUGAUGACGAUGAUGGUGAGGACAAAGAACGGGGUCGAGGCCUGUCUCCUAAGCCUGUGACAUCCUCGCCUCUGACCGGGGUGGAAGCUCCCGAACGUAAUCACGAGGACACCUGCAGAAACACACAUAAAACGAGCCUGGAUAAAAUCAUUUCUUCAAGCUCACAAACUCAGACCAUAAAGCCUAAGCUUUGGUCAUUGGCAGAAAUAGCCACUUCAGAUCCAAAACAGCACCAGGGGCAACAUUCUCCUUCCUCGGUAUUAUCUUCAUCAACUCUGUCAUCGACGUCUUCAGCUAGCACUGUUUACCCUGCCUCUUCAAUCCUAGGAAGGCCUAUUUAUUAUACGUCUCCGUUUUACAGUAAUUACACAAACUAUAGCAACUUCAGCCCUUUGCAGAGCCAGGGGAUCUUGAGGUAUAAUUCUGCUGCUGCGACAGCUAAUGAGGGGCUCAGUCAGACUGUAAUAAAUACGACCUCUAUUCACAAACAGAGCAGCGACUCUCUAAUAAAAAGUAACUCAAACCAGGUAGAGCAACACUUCAGGCUCGCUAGCUUGGAAUCCAGGAAAGACCCCAGUGUGGUGUGCACAGUAGGAGCCCAACCAUACCAAUAGAAGAGUAAUACAAAAACAAAGCAAGGAAGUUGGUAUGCUUUUUGAUUUUGUCUAAUCCUUAGGUAGGUGUCACAAUUGCUUUGACAAAAUGUGAGCAAGCCAUCAUUCCCCCAUCCUCUAUUUUAAAAUCAUUUUCUAAUUCUGGAACACACCUUGGGCCACUGUAGAAAAGAAGACCCACUGUGUGCUAUACUUUCAUUCUACAGAAACUAAUCAGUUACCUAUGAAUUAAUUGUGUGUGCAACAUUAUGUGCAUUUGUUGGUAUAGUAGUUUUCCCCUAUGUUAAUUUGACUUUGGGAAAAAAAAAAAAAAUCUGUUAUUUCUCAGGAUUCCUUGAUUGCUUCAUUGCCACGGUAUAUUGUAUACUAUAGGUGUGACAUGAAUUACUGUAAAACAUAUUUGUAAAAGAUGUAUAAUGUAGGAAAAAAUGUCUGAUGAACUGGAGUACUCUUAAAAAGUGGAAAACAUUUGAUAUUUAUUUUUGUAAUAAUGGCGAAGAGCCUAUAAUUUAUGCAAGUUGUAUUGCAACGAAAUCUGAAAUUUGUUUUGUAAAUACAUUGACUGGUUUUUAUUUGAAACGUACUGGCAAGUUAAACCAUCUUUGGUUGUUAACAAGAAUACUUUUACUAAUUUAUAUCUUAAAUUGUAAAUAAAAACGGACUAGUCUGCAACAACAAAA